rnacentral:rRNA from 1 species
UGGUGGCGACCGGCGCACGGGUGCGUAACGCGUAUGCAACCUACCUUUAACAGGGGGAUAACACUGAGAAAUUGGUACUAAUACCCCAUAAUAUCAUAGAAGGCAUCUUUUAUGGUUGAAAAUUCCGAUGGUUAGAGAUGGGCAUGCGUUGUAUUAGCUAGUUGGUGGGGUAACGGCUCACCAAGGCGACGAUACAUAGGGGGACUGAGGGGUUAACCCCCCACACUGGUACUGAGACACGGACCAG